CAGUCGCCGCGGUAAUACGGAGGGGGCUAGCGUUGUUCGGAAUUACUGGGCGUAAAGCGUACGUAGGCGGCUUUGUAAGUUAGAGGUGAAAGCCUGGUGCUCAACACCAGAACUGCCUUUAAGACUGCAUCGCUUGAACGUCGGAGAGGUGAGUGGAAUUCCGAGUGUAGAGGUGAAAUUCGUAGAUAUUCGCAAGAACACCAGUGGCGAAGGCGGCUCACUGGCCCGAUACUGACGCUGAGGUGCGAAAGCGUGGGGAGCAAACAGGAUUAGAGACCCCGGUAGUCCCUGUCUCUUAUAC
rnacentral:rRNA from 1 species